GACGAACGCUGGCGGCGUGCCUAAUACAUGCAAGUAGAACGCUGAAGGAGGAGCUUGCUUCUCUGGAUGAGUUGCGAACGGGUGAGUAACGCGUAGGUAACCUGCCUGGUAGCGGGGGAUAACUAUUGGAAACGAUAGCUAAUACCGCAUAAUAGUAGAUGUUGCAUGACAUUUGCUUAAAAGGUGCAAUUGCAUCACUACCAGAUGGACCUGCGUUGUAUUAGCUAGUUGGUGAGGUAACGGCUCACCAAGGCGACGAUACAUAGCCGACCUGAGAGGGUGCUCGGCCACACUGGGACUGAGACACGGCCCAGACUCCUACGGGAGGCAGCAGUAGGGAAUCUUCGGCAAUGGACGGAAGUCUGACCGAGCAACGCCGCGUGAGUGAAGAAGGUUUUCGGAUCGUAAAGCUCUGUUGUAAGAGAAGAACGAGUGUGAGAGUGGAAAGUUCACACUGUGACGGUAUCUUACCAGAAAGGGACGGCUAACUACGUG
rnacentral:rRNA from 1 species